CGGACCUGACUUCUAUCGGAUUGAUACUAAGCCAUGAGAGUUUUUGUAGCAAUACAAGGCAGACGGCUCAGUAACACGUAGUCAAUCUAACCUAUGGAUGAGGAUAACCUCGGGAAACUGAGAAUAAUACUCAAUAGAUCAUUAUACCUGGAACGGUUUAUGGUUCAAAUGACUUUCGCCAUAGGGUGAGACUGCGGUCUAUCAGCUUGUUGGUGAGGUAUGGCCCACCAAGGCUAUAACAGAUACGGGCUUUGAGAGGAGAAGCCCGGAGAUGGGUAUUAAGACACGGACCCAGGCCCUAUGGGGCGCAGCAGGCGAGAAAACUUUGCAAUGUGCGAAAGCACGACAAGGUUAAUCCGAGUGAUUCCUGCUAAAGGAAUCUUUUGUUAGUCAUAAUACCACUGAUGAAUAAGGGGUGGGCAAGUUCUGGUGUCAGCCGCCGCGGUAAAACCAGCACCUCAAGUGGUCAGGAGGAUUAUUGGGCCUAAAGCAUCCGUAGCCUGCUCUGUAAGUUUUCGGUUAAAUUUAUAUGCUCAACAUAUAGGCUGCCGGAAAUACUGCAGAGCUAGGAAGUGGGAGAGGUAGACGGUACUCCGUAGGAAGGGGUAAAAUCCUUUGAUCUAUGGAUGACCACCUGUGGCGAAGGCGGUCUACCAGAACACGUUCGACGGUGAGGGAUGAAAGCUGGGGGAGCAAACCGGAUUAGAUACCCGGGUAGUCCCAGCUGUAAACUAUGCAGACUCGGUGAUGCAUUGGCUUGUGGCCAGUGCAGUGCCGCAGGGAAGCCGUUAAGUUUGCCGCCUGGGAAGUACGUACGCAAGUAUGAAACUUAAAGGAAUUGGCGGGGGAGCAC
rnacentral:rRNA from 1 species